UACGUAGGGGGCUAGCGUUGUCCGGAAUCAUUGGGCGUAAAGCGCGCGUAGGCGGCCCGGUAAGUCCGUUGUGAAAGUCAAAGGCUCAACCUUUGAAAGCCGAUGGAAUACUGCCCGGGCUGGAGUCCGGAAGAGGCGAGUGGAAUUCCUGGUGUAGCGGUGGAAUGCGCAGAUAUCAGGAGGAACACCAAUAGCGAAGGCAGCUCGCUGGGACGGUACUGACGCUGAGGCGCGAAAGCGUGGGGAGCGAACAGG
rnacentral:rRNA from 1 species